GGCGGCGGUGCUUAACACAUGCAAGUCGAACGGAGUACCUUGAAGGAGUUUUCGGUACAACUGAUAGGACUACUUAGUGGCGGACGGGUGAGUAACGCGUGAGUAACCUGCCUUGGAGUGGGGAAGUAACAGCUGGAAACAGCUGCUAAUACCGCAUGAUGCAGUUGGGUCGCAUGGCUCUGACUGCCAAAGAUUUAUCGCUCUGAGAUGGACUCGCGUCUGAUUAGCUAGUUGGCGGGGCAACGGCCCACCAAGGCGACGAUCAGUAGCCGGACUGAGAGGUUGGCCGGCCACAUUGGGACUGAGACACGGCCCAGACUCCUACGGGAGGCAGCAGUGGGGAAUAUUGGGCAAUGGGCGCAAGCCUGACCCAGCAACGCCGCGUGAAGGGAAGAAGGCUUUCGGGUUGUAAACUUCUUUUCUUAGGGACGAAGAAAGUGACGGUACCUAAGGAAUAAGCCACGGCUAACUACGUG
rnacentral:rRNA from 1 species